rnacentral:lncRNA from 1 species
UAUGAUGUAUGAUUACUCCCUUGGUACAUGACUCCUGUUUUACGUUUCUUGAUGAGAAAUGUGUGUCUUAGGCUUAAUGUAUGGCUUUGAUGUGAUACCAGUGGGACGUGUUACAGAUUAAAAGGGUUCAAUCCCUUGACCCACAGCAGAUAGUAGUCCCUGGUAUAGGCCCUGAGGGCCAUUUCAGAUUGACAUAUCUUAGUAGCAGUAGUUAAGCCUACAGAGUUUUACAGGAUUGCUGAGUGGCUUUGUAUCAUGUAUGGGAUUUAUCAGGUACACAGAGAGUAUAGUUGGCUGACUACGGGUCCCGGCGGUCUUAAGCCGAUCUGGAUCCUAGUGCCAGUGAUGGUUCGGACCGUUACUAAGGGGUACCAGUUUCCGGGUCGUUACAGAUUGGUUUCAGAGCAUAGGGCCUCAAGAGUACGAUGUGUUGAGCAAAGAUGCUCACGGACUAGAGAUAUCCCACAUCGGAAAGAGGUGUUGUCUUGUAUAGGAAGGGAAGUACAAUAGGUAAAAUCAUGUCCACUAGGAUAGGAUGUGGAGUCCUGUCUUGCAUGCUGCUGUGAAAUGCCAUGAUGAGAUGAUGCAUGUGCAUUAUUGAUAUGUUUGAUAUGUGCUGAGGAUUCAUGUGUUCUCACAUGGAUCAUUUGCUGAUUUUUUUUUUGUGUGAUGUUGUGCCUUUCAAAGGCAGGAUGAGAGGAACUCAUCGAUCUGUUAGAUUGAAUGGAGCUCCACCAGAGGAUGAGGACAUGGAUGCUCACCUCCCCGUUCUGCAAAGGGCAACAUCAGAUAGCUUAAGCAGAGAAGGUACAUCAAGGGACCCUAGAAGGUCUGUUGAUGAGAGUAGAAGGGGAGUUGUUCAGAGUGGUAUGUCGUGGUUUAUGAGAGAAAGAGAGGAGGAUGAGCAGAGUAGAGACGGGAGCUUUGGCAUGAGCAGGUUAGGAGGAGAUAUGGGUGAGUCCCAAGGAGGCACUCAGGCCUCGAGAUUUGUUCCACCUCAGUAUCCACCCUACCCGUGGGGGGCAGAGUACCUGAUGGGGGGUACAUCGGAGUGUCCUAGGUAUAACCCAUAUCCCACCUUUAUGCCCUAUCCUUCCUUUUACCCGCCAUAUCCACCAUCAUAUUCACAGUAUACCAUGUUUCCACCCUUCUUUUGUUACCCAGGUUCAGUAAACCCGACCCCAGGGAAUGUUGCACCUCCUCCACCACCAGUAGAAUCAGUAGCCCCAGUUGUCCAAACACCCAAGCCUAGUUCACCUGGAGGAAGUAUGGUGCAGAUAACAGACUCUUUGAGGUUGGAUGUUCCCACAUUUGAGACUGGUGAUGACCCUGUUGAGUAUCUUAGAAUGGUCAAGAUGAUAGCUGAUGAGUUGGGAGUCAGUGAGAGUAAAGCCAUUCAGAUGGCAGGGGUCACAUUGAAAUGUGAGAAGGCAAGGGAAUGGUUCACCCAGUAUGUGGACCCGAGGGUAGAAAGCUUAUCCUGGGAGCAGUUUGCUACAGAGUUUACAGGAUGGGCUUGUCCAGAUAGUUCAAGGGAGUGUAAAGAGGGUGAAUUUGCGCAGCUAGAGCAAACAGAAAACAUGAGUGUAGAAACUUACCCAGAGAACAGUGAUCGUUUCCCUUUGGGUGAGGCUGCUGCAAAGAAUAAAAAGAAAGUGAGAGGCCUGAAAGGGUCAAAGAAAAAAGAGUUCUGGAAUAGGGUAAAGUUUAGUAUGGGUUUUUGCGAGGGUUCGAGUUCUGGUUGGGAUAGUUCUAGCUGUGCGAGGUGCAGUAGGAGGCACAAAGGAGUCUGUUGGGCUGGGACAAUAGCAUGUUUUAGGUGCGGACAGAAGGGGCACAUGGCACGAGAGUGUCCCACUAUGACUGUAUCAGCAUAGUUCCCGCAGACAUCCUCAGACAAUAGAAGUCCACCAGAAGCUCCAGCCUCGGUGCAGGGCAAAGAUGUGGAAGUCCGUUAGUUCCGGCUCAGAUUUUCACCCAGGAUCAGCCAGAGACAGACACACCGAACACAGUGGUGCCAGGUAAGCUCACUUUUGAGUGUUCUGAUGUGUAUGGUUUUCUGGACACUAGUAGAAUAUCAGUUGAUGUGAAAAUAGUAAAGUGUAAUAAAGUUAGAUGGUCAGAGAUAAAGAUUUAGAGACGAGUGAGUCGUUAAAGGGUAGUGAGCCAGAAAAGAGCUCGAGAGCUAUAGCCGUGGAUUUGAAAUCUAGGUAGGGAGAGAGUGAUCUCUCAUCUCUGAGUGUAGACCUCAAAUAAAGAAAUAAGGCAAAGAAUAGUGUACAAAUGUGAAGAGUAAGAAAAAGAAUCAAAGUAAGCAAAGAGAAGAGUAAAUAAGGUAGAAUCGAGCAGAGAAGGAAGAGAAUAGAAUACAUGUAAAGUUAGUAUAAGGUUAGACAGAGAUUUCAGUUUAGUCUGGGAUUAGAUGGCAAGUGAGCUCUAGUUUAGAUAGUUUUGGAUACGGGAGGCGUGGAGUGUACACAAAAGGAGUUUGUUGGCAUGGGACUACGGCAUGUAUAGAUGCGAGCAGGAAGGACUCAUCUUGUGUGUGAGUGUCCUACUGCGGCCCUGAUUGGCACAGUCCCAGCAGAUGACUUCUCGUAGUAUAACUCAGCCUAUAGCUCUAGCCAUGUUUCAGGACAGUGGUUGAGGCAGGAGGAGAGAGUUCUCCUUUUCUUGGGUUGGUUCCCGAGGGAAGAUUCAUUAGCUUUAGCUUGGCUCUUCAUCCUAACUCAGUCAGAGGCUAACACCAUCGAACACGGUGACGUCAGAUACAGUCACUUGAGGGUGUUCAGAUGUGUAGGUUAUAGUGGACCCUGAUGUUUCUUUCCCUGUUGUUUUGAGAGCCGUAGAUAGAGGGGGGUUUGAUAACUUCUGGGCUUAGAGUGAUCUCUUUGGGUUGGUAGACCCGAGUGUGAUCCAUCUGUGGCAGAGUCAGUCAGUCAGUUCAGUUCAGAGUUCGUUGUGAGUAGAUGCGAUCCAGCUGACCUUAUGGUUCUAGAGUUGACUAUGUGAUGUCAUUCUAGGGCGGAUUGGCUAGCUACUCAUAGUAUUACAUGUGUCUGCAAAGACAAGGUAAGAAAGUAUAGAUUGUAAGAUGGAUCAGAGGCAGUCCUUAGGGGGGACAGUAUAGUAUACCCAGAAGUUUGAUAUCAGCCCUACAGGCUCGUGAAGUCUUGAGGAACGGUAGUCAGGGAUUUCUUGCUCUUGUUCGAGAGCAUAAUAGCCAGGUCAGGGAACCAGCCUCAGUACUCAUAGACAGAAAAAGAGAAAGAGUGUUAUAUGUUAUCCCAGACAAGCUAGCAGGUUUACCAUUGGUAAAAACCAAUAGAGUCUGGAAGUCAAGUGAGGAUGGAGACUAGACUCAUCUUCACCUCUUCCUUCAAAAUGGUACCUGUAGCAUGUAAGAGGUGAAAAAGUUGUAAAAACUAGAAAAGCAGUUGCAUAAGUGAGAACGAUAGUAGAGCAGUGUGAACUUGGUAGCAAAGGAUUCUAUCCGACUUAGUACUACACCCUGGAAUAUUCCAGUGUCGUUGUGAGAAACGAAGGAUGAAACCUUGAGAGUUUGUCACAACUGUGAAUAGUUGCACCACAUCACUACCAAGAACAGGUGUUCCCAUGCAGAAUGAAUGAUCGAUAGGACCAACUAGAAGCUGGUUGUUUUCCAUAAUAGAUCUGAGAGUUGGGACCUAUAUGUCAAAAGUUAGAGAAAAGUCAGUGUAGCAGUUGAGUCGAGAUGAGAUCUUUAUUAUAGUGCAGCGUCUAACCCAGAGGUAAGGGGUAAAACUGCUCAGCGACUCUGAGUAUACAAGACAGUAUUUACUGGGUAAGGCAGAUGAGAUGUUAGCUGCCCUCAGUCAGAAGUCGCUUAUCAGUUUAUCCUAUCGAAACAGAUAGCUAGAGAGCUAAAGAGCUAGAGAGCUAGAGAUAGUCCAGUGUAGUUAGAAGGGAUCAAAAGAGAAGAAGCCAGUAUAGUAAAGAAGAAGAAAGGCGGGCAAGGAUCAGAGUACGCAGCAAAAGCGUAGAAUAGUUCAGAAAAAUAGAGAAGCAUGCCCAUUAUCUACUGAGUGUUGUAGAUUGUAAGAGAACACGAUAUAGAGGCCAAGUUCUAUCAUACGAGUUCGAUUUGAGGGCAUGUCUGUUUGAACCUAAAGUAAGAAGAGAAUUGAAGCUAUAGGCAAGUUAUUGCUCCUCUGACCGGGUUAAGUAAAGAGAAGCAAAAGUUAGUGUGACCAGAGUAGUGUGAAUCAAGCUGAGAAGAGUCAAAGAAAAAGGAAAGUCAGUAGUCAGAUGAAAGAUUCACGUCAGUUGUUGUGUACUGACAGAAGUGAUAAGUAGGGAAACGUCAAUAGAGUCAGGAAGCGUAGACAACCCGGGAGUUUUACUCCAGUGGUAUCCGUGUCUCUUCUCAGAGGAAGGUGUUAGACUUUCCUUAAUUGCUUGUUUGCAUAUAUGUUUAUUGUUGUUUUAAACAUUCGAGGACGAAUGUGCUUAAAGGGGGCAAGAAUGUAAUACCCGGCUAGAUUCAGACAUCGGAAUUUCUACUAUCCGGUGGAAUUCGAGGAUGUCAGAGGUCUCUGGAAGGGUAAGAGAAAAUUUUCUAAAAUGAUUUCAAGUGUUUUAAAGGUUUAGAGUGAAAAAGGAUUGAGUUUUGAAGAGAAAAGGCCAAGGAGGCAUUCUGCCAUGUUCGGCCGCCGAAGGUAAAGUUCGGCCGCCGAAAGUGCCCAAUGUUCGGCCCCCGAAUGUUGCAUGGUUUUGCAUGCGAUUCGGCAGCCGAAGUUGAGUUGGUCAGCCAGCUAUUAUGCACUCCUCCGUCGGUGAAAUGGCCAGGUGUCGAUUUGGCAUCACAGACAGAGGAUUAGGCCACGUCUCUCAUGACUCAUCUGCAGGGUGUUAUCACACCAUGCACAAGUGUGGUGUUUGUCAAGUGAGGUUGAAGGUUUUGGGUCAAAAGGAGAGGGUUGGUGGUUUGGAGCUUGGGAAGAGGUGUUGGUCCAUAGAUCAGCUUUCAGGUUGUUCCUCUUCUGGUGUUAGAAGGUAAGGGAAGGUUUUGAACUUCUUUUACUGAUUUAUAUAGCUUUUAAAGAGGGUAAGGGUAGAGUUGCAUAUAUAGGGUUUAAAGCUUAGUUUUUGAUGUUUUAAUGGUGUAAGCAUGAUUAUGUGUAUGUUUGUUGUUUGUGUUGGGGGUGUUAGGUAGUUUUAGACCCCUUUGAACAUAUACUUAAGUAUAUGUGAGUUGAGGGAGGAGUUAUGCAUGUUGACGGAGGGAGGUUGCCGUCGGGGCUGAGUUCUGGAUGAACUCAGGUUCGGCAGCCGAAGGAGGAUUCGGCCGCUGAACAUGCCAGACUUUCGUCUCUGGAGGAGACAUUCGGCCGCCGAAGGUGCAGCCGAAGGUGCCCUGUCCAGCCUUCCUUUGCUUGUUUUGCAUGCAUGUUUUGAGAUGUUCUAGAGGGGUUUUGGGGAGUUGUUUAUCAGUUGUAUAGAGUUUGUUUGGUACCUCAUUUGUGUCCUCCAUUGUAGGAUUGGACCCGAGGAACCGAGGUGUUUAGCAGGAGUAGCUGCUUCAGAGUUAGAGGUAGCCCAAAGUUAGCCAAGCAGAGGCUACAGGUGAGUGGAACUAAACUUAAUAUUUUAUCUUGAGAAAUGACACGGUUCUAGCAUGAUUCAUGCAUCAUAAACUGCCAUGUUAUAUAUUAGGGUGUGUUGCAUUAGAAUUCACGAAUAUGAUGCAUUGCAUAAGAUGUUGUUCCUAUGGAUGAAUGUUGGAUGAUCCUUAGCCCUUGAUAGAGACCAGAUACAGAGUUAUGGCAUGAGAUAGCCAUACCAGGUCGCCCCUGGAUAGGCCAGGUCGCUCCUGGUACUAUGGACAGAGCAGAGUUAAGAGUAGACCAGGUGAUGACAUAGUCUCCUUAGCACAGUUGGUCAUGUUAUGAUAUCAGAGAUAAGAGUAGACCAGGUGAUGACAUAGUCUCCUUGGCACAGUUGGUCAUGUUAUGAUAUCAGAGAUAAGAGUAGACCAGGUGAUGACAUAGUCUCCUUGGCACAGUUGGUCAGAUUAUAAUAUGUAGUUGAGGGCUAUUGGUGACAAAUUCAUCCGUGAGAUGAUAUGUUUGUGAUGUGAUGCAUUUCAUGAAAACAUGUAAUUAAUGAAUGGUGUUAUUGUUCCUCCUCACUGGGCUCUAGAGCUCAUCCCACUCCCUUAAUCCCAGUUUUGCAGGUCCUGAGAUAGCUAUGGGAAGUCAAAGUCAGCAAGAGUACAGAGGAAAGUUAUGCAUGAAUGUAUGUUGUAAUAGUAUAGUGGACAUGAUGUAAUUAAAAGAUUAGUUGUAAUGUAAUGUAUAGAUAUGUACUGUCGUAUACUGGAUAGACUUGUGCUUUCCCUAGUGUCUUUGCUAUUGUAUGAUGUAUGAUUACUCCCUUGGUACAUGACUCCUGUUUUACGUUUCUUGAUGAGAAAUGUGUGUCUUAGGCUUAAUGUAUGGCUUUGAUGUGAUACCAGUGGGACGUGUUACAGAUUAAAAGGGUUCAAUCCCUUGACCCACAGUAGAUAGUAGUCCCUGGUAUAGGCCCUGAGGGCCAUUUCAGAUUGACAUAUCUGAGUAGCAGUAGUUAAGCCUACAGAGUUUUACAGGAUUGCUGAGUGGCUUUGUAUCAUGUAUGGGAUUUAUCAGGUACACAGAGAGUAUAGUUGGCUGACUACGGGUCCCGGCGGUCUUAAGCCGAUCUGGAUCCUAGUGCCAGUGAUGGUUCGGAC